GGCUGCAGUGGGGAAUAUUGGACAAUGGGCGCAAGCCUGAUCCAGCCAUGCCGCGUGAGUGAUGAAGGCCCUAGGGUUGUAAAGCUCUUUUGUGCGGGAAGAUAAUGACGGUACCGCAAGAAUAAGCCCCGGCUAACUUCGUGCCAGCAGCCGCGGUAAUACGAAGGGGGCUAGCGUUGCUCGGAAUCACUGGGCGUAAAGGGUGCGUAGGCGGGUCUUUAAGUCAGGGGUGAAAUCCUGGAGCUCAACUCCAGAACUGCCUUUGAUACUGAGGAUCUUGAGUUCGGGAGAGGUGAGUGGAACUGCGAGUGUAGAGGUGAAAUUCGUAGAUAUUCGCAAGAACACCAGUGGCGAAGGCGGCUCACUGGCCCG
rnacentral:rRNA from 1 species